UUUCCGCGGUCACGUGGUCACCGCGCUCCAGGUCACGCCCCCUUCGUUUGGUCGCCUGAAGGGGCGGCAGAGGAUGGAUUUUUUCAAGUCAUGUGUUUGCUUGCUUGCUAACUGGCUGUGACUCCUACGAAGCAAGUUUACGAUGAACACAUUUGGGAAAGAUAAUUUCCAUUUCCUGAUAGAUCCACUGGAAGUGCCACAGUGUAAGGACAGAAAUUAUUAGACUCUAAUCAUUAAAGCCAUCUAUAUACAAAUUUUAUGGGAGGCCACUGCUUUUGAAUUGAGCUCCUGCCCAGACCAAACUAAAAUGGAGUUGUUGACACCAAGUGCUAUAUGAUCAAACAUUAAAGAAACAAGUAGAUCUUUAUUCACAGCAACCAAUUGGAAAGGAUUCAGCCAACCUGAGUCAGUGAAAUUAGGUAAUUCCUUCUGCUUUGACCCUUUUAAAUAACCUGAUGUUAAUCUGCUGCUUUCUUUUAGUGUUCUGUUUCUUUGUUCUUACUUUGUAAAAGCCAAGGAUUUUGCAAUCCCCAAUAGUGCACUGCUUCUGUUUAUAGAAUGAAAUGCUGCCCAAUUCU